CCUACGGGGGGCAGCAGUGAGGAAUAUUGGUCAAUGGGCGUAAGCCUGAACCAGCCAAGCCGCGUGAGGGAUGAAGGUUCUAUGGAUCGUAAACUUCUUUUAUAAGGGAAUAAAGUGUGGGACGUGUCCUAUUUUGUAUGUACCUUAUGAAUAAGGAUCGGCUAACUCCGUGCCAGCAGCCGCGGUAAUACGGAGGAUCCGAGCGUUAUCCGGAUUUAUUGGGUUUAAAGGGUGCGUAGGCGGGCUUUUAAGUCAGCGGUGAAAGUGUGGGGCUCAACCAUGGAAUUGCCGUUGAUACUGGGGGACUAGAGUAUGUUUGAGGUAGGCGGAAGGCGUGGUGUAGCGGUGAAAUGCUUAGAUAUCACGCAGAACCCCGAUUGCGAAGGCAGCCUGCCAAGCCAUGACUGACGCUGAUGCACGAAAGCGUGGGGAUCAAACAGGAUUAGAUACCCUAGUAGUC
rnacentral:rRNA from 1 species